rnacentral:rRNA from 1 species
CCUACGGGAGGCAGCAGUGAGGAAUAUUGGUCAAUGGCCGUAAGGCUGAACCAGCCAAGUCGCGUGAAGGAAGAAGGAUCUAUGGUUUGUAAACUUCUUUUAUAGGGGAAUAAAGGUAUCCACGUGUGGAUAUUUGCAUGUACCCUAUGAAUAAGCAUCGGCUAACUCCGUGCCAGCAGCCGCGGUAAUACGGAGGAUGCGAGCGUUAUCCGGAUUUAUUGGGUUUAAAGGGUGCGUAGGUUGUUUUUUAAGUCAGCGGUGAAAGUUUGUGGCUCAACCAUAAAAUUGCCGUUGAAACUGGAAGACGUGAGUGUGUUUGAGGUAGGCGGAAUGCGUGGUGUAGCGGUGAAAUGCAUAGAUAUCACGCAGAACUCCGAUUGCGAAGGCAGCUUACUAAGCCAUAACUGACACGGAAGCACGAAAGCGUGGGGAUCAAACAGGAUUAGAUACCCGUGUAGUC